rnacentral:rRNA from 1 species
UAAUACUAGGGGUACGAGCGUUGUCCGGAAUCAUUGGGCGUAAAGGGUCCGUAGGCGUCUCAAUAAGUCACUUGUUAAAGACACCGGCUUAACCGGUGGCCUGCAUGUGAAACUGUUGAGAUAGAGUAUAGGAGAGGAAAGUGGAAUUCCUGGUGUAGCGGUGACAAGCGUAGAUAUCAGGAGGAACACCAAUGGCGAAGGCAACUUUCUGGCCUAUUACUGACGCUGAGGGACGAAAGCGUGGGGAGCAAACAGGAUUAGAUACCCUGGUAGUCCACGCCGUAAACGAUGAGUACUUGGUGUCGGGGGAUUCGACCCCUUCGGUACCGGAGCUAACGCAUUAAGUACUCCGCCUGGGAACUACGACCGCAAGGUUG